UACGUAGGGGGCAAGCGUUGUCCGGAGUUACUGGGCGUAAAGAGUGCGUAGGCGGUUUCGUAAGUUUGGUGUGAAAUCUCCCGGCUUAACUGGGAGGGUGCGCCGAAAACUGCGGGGCUGGAGUGUGGCAGAGGGGGGUGGAAUUCCGCGUGUAGCAGUGAAAUGCGUAGAGAUGCGGAGGAACACCGAUGGCGAAGGCAGCCCCCUGGGCUAGCACUGACGCUCAGGCACGAAAGCGUGGGGAGCAAACAGG
rnacentral:rRNA from 1 species